GGUGACCUCCAGCGUGAUCCGCAGGCAGUGACUUGGGGAUUCCUGCUGCAGCUCUUGUCAGUCAGGUUUCCCAUUGCAGAAACCCAUAUGAGUUGCUCUUGUUCAUUUAUGUAUCUUGUCAAAGCCGUUGUGUUUUGAAUUCAAAGAAAUCUGUGCUAGGUUCUUCAGUGUGCUCUCCAGUGGUGCCGCUGGUUGCCAAACAGAGUACGUGAGGUGGUGGUCAAUGGUGCCAGGUUUGCUAAAUUGUGUCUACGCAAAACACCAGUUUUAGACUUCAGUAACAAAGACUGUAACUGACUGGCAUAUGCUAGGCUGACCUUGAGCCUCUAAACUUUACAGGUGAAGCCACAGUUAGCAUGGGAGAGAAGUUGAGCUUACAUUUUGUGCACCUUUGCUUGACUGAAAAUGCUGAAUAAAGGGGAAAAUACUGUGCAGCAGCCUGCGAAAUAUGCAAGUGGCCAUGAGUACAGCCAGCUGACGAACAUCUAAGCACAGUAAUAAACAUAUACUCAUUUGGGAGACUAGAAUCACUACUUGUGUGUUAACUGAUGUAUUUCAGAAGGUUGUUUUAAGAACUAUGUUGUCUUCAACAGUUAAACUCCUAGUCUCCUUAAACUGCUUCCUGGAGAAGCAGUUUAAUGAUUUGUUACCUCUUCUAUCUGUCUUUUCUUUCCUACCUGGACAGACAUGAGAACAAUUGAGAAAGCCCAGUACUGAGCUAGAAACUGGCAUUGUAUGCUUGUUUCACUGCAUUUAGGUUUGGCUACACUAGUGUUAGACAGCAAGGCUGCUUGCAAACCACCUGCAGUUCAGCAUUUGUCAUGAAGACAGCCCUUGCUUUCAUUCAAAACUUCAUUACAGUUCAAGAAGAUGUAAUGUGUUUGGCUCUUUGGCAGAUCAAUGUCAUUGCCCAUUAUAAUCUCCUCGAAGGACAAGUGAAACGUUCAGUUGUCCUUAUGUUAUAUUUUUUGAUAUCAUACAGCAUUACCAAGUUUUCUUAAUGUGCGGAUGGAAAGGAAAGAGCUGUUAUAUGGUGGUUUCCUUGAGUGUUGGGAUUAGAUUGGAGUUGCCACAGUCCACACUGAGUCAAGCUGAUGAUGCAAAGACGGCUUUCCCUCAAACGUUUUAACAAACUCCUAAUUUAGAAAAGGCCGAGUAAGGUCUUAUCCCUUCUCAGCCAGUGAGGAUCUUGUUUCUCCUGUGUGCAGGACUCCGGUCAUGCAGGAAGCUGAAUUUAAGAGCAUGCUUCUGUCUGAGGAGUGUUUAAUGACUGAAAUUCCCAGCUAUA
rnacentral:lncRNA from 1 species